rnacentral:misc_RNA from 1 species
UUUGAGCUUGGUGGGUGGUUGUUAGUUGGGUGAUUUCGGGAAUGUCUACCGUAAAGGUGCAUGAGUGGUGUUUGGUUUGUUACGGGUGGUUGGCUCUUUGCUUGCGCAACAACUUCCACCUGGCAUACCUCUUCAGUCUUGUGUCAAUGCUUGUAUCGCAUUGAAUGCAUAGUGGGUUUCCUGUGUUGCAUGCCUAAUGAUGGUAUCAUUUGAAGAAUUGAUGUCCAUUUUCGUCUUGCGUUGCACAUGCGAUGUGAGAUGAACCUUGAAGCAGCCUUUGUGUUCCACUCUUUCGAUGCACACAUUGAUUUUGUGGCCCACUAAGUGUUGCCUGGUCUCAUGGAUAUGGAACCUAGUGUGGGCAUGGGAUCUUUACUAGUUCCUUGUUUGCCCUAGUUUAGCUUUUCUAAUACGAUUGUCUAUCAUGUCUGACGUGGUAGGC